GGUAGUCCACGCCGUAAACGGUGGGCACUACGUGUGGGCAACAUUCCACGUUGUCCGUGCCGCAGCUAACGCAUUAAGUGCCCCGCCUGGGGAGUACGGCCGCAAGGCUAAAACUCAAAGGAAUUGACGGGGGCCCGCACAAGCGGCGGAGCAUGUGGCUUAAUUCGACGCA
rnacentral:rRNA from 1 species